UCUACCAUAGCUCAGCGGUACGAGUAUCUGCCUUGCAUGCACAAGGUCUCCAGUUCAAUUCCUGGUGUUUUCAGGUAGGG